CAAGAGGCAGACAUGUUGAACAAGGAGAAACAGCCUCUUCUGAAGAAAUAGGUCUCCAUGCACCGCAGUGGUUUCCUGGAAUAAAGCUGAGGAAAGGUGAUCUCACCCCCGUCUACAUGGAGGAAGUUGUGCGAGUAUGGGGCUUCCACGAGAUGAGUCUCUCUGGGGUGACACCCUUGGCCAGAGAAGACAACACUGGCACUCUCCUGUCAGAGUCCGAAAGCUCAAGAUGUAGAUGCUGUUACCACCUUGCCUGGGGCUUCCUGCUACUUGGCUGUCUUGAGUCAACAAUAGCCAAGGGGACAGAAGAAAGAGAGAAAAGUUAUAUCUAUAUGUUUGAACACAGGUUUGAUCCCUAAUGGAAUGGACGCUGGAGAUGAGGCAAACACAGCCCAGAGAGAACCACCAUUGUG
rnacentral:lncRNA from 1 species